AUUUAUGUAGUUUAAAGAACAAAACAUUGUGUUUUCAUCACAAAAAUAAUUUAUUAAUAUUUCAUAAAUU
rnacentral:tRNA from 1 species